AGGGUGUAAACGCUGCAGACUUGGUAUUGGAGGCCCUUUGGGGGCAUUCAGUGCCGGAGAGAAGUUGUUAAGUCUGCUACUUGGGGAGUACGUCCGCAAGGAUGAAACUUAAAGGAAUUGGCGGGGGAGCACCGCAACGGGAGGAGCGUGCGGUUUAAUUGGAUUCAACACCGUAAAACUCACCAGGGAAGACUGUUACAUGAAGGCCGAGAUGAAGACUCUGCUAGAUUUUCAGAGAGGAGGUGCAUGGCGUCAGUGACU
rnacentral:rRNA from 1 species